rnacentral:rRNA from 1 species
GAUGAACGCUGGCGGCGUGCUUAACACAUGCAAGUCGAACGGUGAACGAGGGAGCUUGCUCCCUCCGGAUCAGUGGCGAACGGGUGAGUAACACGUGAGCAAUCUGCCCUGGACUCUGGGAUAAGCGUUGGAAACGACGUCUAAUACCGGAUACGAGGCGUGGGGGCAUCCCCAACGCCUGGAAAGAACUUCGGUCCAGGAUGAGCUCGCGGCCUAUCAGCUAGUUGGUGAGGUAACGGCUCACCAAGGCGACGACGGGUAGCCGGCCUGAGAGGGUGGCCGGCCACACUGGGACUGAGACACGGCCCAGACUCCUACGGGAGGCAGCAGUGGGGAAUUUUGCGCAAGGGGCGCAAGCCUGAAGCAGCAACGCCGCGUGAGGGAUGAAGGCCUUCGGGUUGUAAACCACUGUUGCCCGGGACGAAACUCCUCUUUCGAGAGGACUGACGGUACCGGGUGAGGAAGCACCGGCUAACUCUGUGCCAGCCGCCGCCGUAAAAC